AUGUUUAUAAAUUAAGUGUUAUAUUAGUUGUGAUUUUUCAUAUAUUAAAAUGCAGGGAUGUGGCUGUGUAAGGAGUGCAGUGUAUCCGUGUCUAAUAGGCAUGAGCUAUUAAAGCACUUUAGAUUGCAGCACAGACAUAGUCAGCACUACCCAUGUUUAUAUCUAAGCUGCCCUUGUACUUUUAAAACGUGGAAUGCUUUAUACAUUCAUUUAAGCAGAGUCCACCCUAAACAAGAUUCACAGGAGCUACUUGAACUGUCAACAUUCAGUUGUCACUUGUGCACUUGUAGUGUUCUUUCUACCGAGAGAGAUUAUUUUGUGCACAUUGGCAGUCACUUGAAGAACAAUGAAACAGUAAAGUGUACAGUAUGUUUGAGGGUUGUCAUUUUCAAACAAAUGUAUAUGGUACAUUUCAUUCCCACAAGAACAGAAAACAUAACAAACAUGGAUUGAAAGAUUUUAAGUUUGGUGUGGUUACAACUACACAAGUGCCACACGAAUGUUCUCAUAAUCCAGUGGAAGGUACAAGUGGUCAUGCCGACCCUGAAGGUGAAGCCAGCAGCACAUGUGUAACCAGUGAUAUGGAUGCAAUAGAGAACAUGCCCAAAUUAAUUGAGCAGAAUUUUGCUGCAAUAUUGCUCAAGUUGGAGCAUAUUGCUCAUGUGCCAGGUGCAACACUUGAUGAGUUUUUAGAGGAACUGCACUACAUGUUUACUUCUGCAACGUUGCCACUCUCUCUCAACAUUGUUGAAGACAUAUUUCAAAACCAUAGUGUUACAACUGAGAAGUCAGAGAUCAAAGAAAUAGCCAAAGCUCUCUCCAUUUCUAACCCCUUACUUAAAGUGAUAGGAAAAGGUGGUCCUUUAAGUACAGCUUACCUUCGUAAACAGUAUUAUAAAGCGAGCUUUAAUAUUGUAGAACCUGUUUAGUUUAUGCUUGAUGCCAAAGAAAGCCGAAGUUUUCAGUAUGUUCCUGUACUAAAAUCUUUGCAGCUGGUAUUUGCAAAUAGAGAGGUGGUGGAUAUUGUAGUCAAAAACCAUCUAGCACAACAGAAAAGUAGGAUGACAAGUGAACUGAAAAUAUACAGGUCUUCUCAGGAUGGUGCUUUCUUCCAGGAAAACAGUUUUUUGUCAGGGAAUGAAUUGAGAAUUUGUUUAAGUUUAUACAUAGAUGAUUUUGAGGUUUGCAAUCCGCUUGGAACUUCUCGUAGGAAACAUAAGCUUUGCGCACUAUAUUGGAUUUUGAACAACUUGCCUCCAGGUUCACAUUCAUCACUGUCUUCCAUUUACCUGGCAGUCUUAUGUAGAUCUGAUGAUGUAAAAAAAUAUGGUUAUGACACUGUCUUAGACCCUCUUAUUCAGGAUUUGAAAACUUUGGAGCAAGAUGGAGUUUUUGUUCCGUUGCUGGGCCAGUGUCUUAAAGGUACAGUUCAGCUUGUUGUAGCAGAUAACCUAGCAGCUCAUGGAAUAGCUGGGUUUACUGAAAGCUUUUCUGGUGAGUAUUUUUGCAGAUUCUGCACAGCAUCCUGUGCAGAAAUCCAGCAAAAAGAGGUAAAAGUGGGAGACUUUAGUGUUAGGACAAAAGAACUCCAUGAGUUUCAUGUGAAAUCAGCUCAGGAACAUAAAAUAAUCUGUUUUGGAGUGAAAAGACAAUGCAUUUUCACUAAAAGUCUUGCACACUUCAGUGUUCAUACAGGUUAUCCCCCGGAUAUUGUUCAUGAUGUUUUUGAGGGUGUAGUGCCAGUGGAAUUAGCACGUUGCUUGGAACUGCUAAUCUCAAAAAAGUACUUUAGUCUUGAAAGCCUUAAUGAAUUAAUAGUUUGUUUUAACUACAAAUGGUCAGACAAAACAAACAAGCCACAUGUGAUCCCUCGUACUUUUUCAACAAGAAAAACAAUAGGCGGAAAUGCCCAUGAAAAUUGGGCCUUGUUGAGGCUGCUUCCAUUUAUAAUUGGGCAUCUGGUGCCAGAGGAAGAAAUGGUGUGGCAGCUAUUGCUUGACUUGAAAAACAUUGUAGAGCUUGUGGUUGCUCCAGCACAUUCAGAUGAAUCAAUUGCCUACCUCGAAGGGAAAAUUUCUGAGCACAGACAAAGGCUCCUUGAGGUAUUCCCUGGUAUGAAACUCUUACCAAAACACCAUUACUUGGAACACUAUCCCAAAAUGAUCAGAAUGUUUGGUCCUCUUGUGGCACACUGGACUCUAAGGUUUGAGGCCAAGCACAGUUUUUUUAAGAAUGUUGUACGACAUACCAGUUGUUUUAAAAAUGUGCCUCUUUCACUAGCAAGUAAACAUCAGGUCAUGAUUUCAUAUCACCUAAAAUCAUCUAGAUUUCAAAAACCUACCACUGAUGUGACAAAUGUCUCAACAGUCCCUGUUGAUGUUCUGAAGCAUGAUAUAGCCCUGGCUAUUACACACAAAUUUCCAGAUACAACUGAAGUUCAUUUCACCAAGUCUGCAAUGAGCAAAGGUGUGCAGUUUAGAGAAGGGAUGAUAGUUCCUUAUGGGUCUACAGGAGGACUGCCAGAAUUCGCAGAGAUUCUGAGAGUUUGUUUUGUACAAGAGAGACUGUUUCUCAUAGUGAAGAGGCUUAGUGCGUGGUACUGGGAGCAUUUCCAUGCCUUUGAGCUGAGGGCAAGUCCAACCAGAGAAACUAUAUUGGUUGGUAUUGAUGAACUUGCAGAUUAUUACCCUUUAGCAGACUAUUUAGUUGGACAACUGCGAAUGGUGACACUCAAAAGGUACAUACUAGUCUAGUUUGUAACAUGCAAGCUAAAUUGUGGACUAUUUAUCAGUAUUGUAGAAAUGACAGUCAAAUGUGCCAUGCUUAUUUUCUCCUUCUCAUUAAAGAACUCAUUGUUGUGAAAUGGCUCCACCGGUGAAGCUUCGAAUAAUUCUUGGAGAGAACAAUUCCCACCGGCUGGUCCUGCCUGGUGGAAUACCCGGGUCUGUCAUGGAACUGUCUGAAGAAAUAAUGAGUCAGUGUGGCCUAGAAGAAGACUUCAGGCUUCAAUUUAUGGAUGCCGAAUUUGGGAAUGAAUUUAUGAACUUGCAGUCAACAUCUGAAAUCCAGGACAGGGGUACCAUCAAGAUGGCUACAGAAUUCAAGAGAAUAACAACUAUCAGUUUGCAGUCAAAGUUUUUCUCACGACUUGAUUUGCUGUCUGAAAACCUGAUGAAGGUGUAUGCACAGAAAGGCGGCAUUCUUGGGAGAAAAAUUCAGAGAAUUAUGGUACCCGUGACACAGAAUGACAGUAUUGACAUCAAGCGAGAAUUUGUCUUGAAAGGUCUCUGUUUGUACCUGAAUGAAGAUCCAGAUCAGCUGAUCAGGGAAUAUAUGGACACAGAUAGACAAAGUGCAGAGAGGGCCAUGGAAGAUACAGUCCUUGCCAUCUUUGUGAUCAAACAUGAAGGUGCAGAGCCUGGCGAUGAUCUGGUGGAUGUUGGAAUAAUCGCAGAGGAAGUAGAAGUGCUGGGUCACUUGGGUAGUGUGGCGUUUGCAGUGGCAAUGUUGCUUAGUGUCAUAUAUGCUCUGAACCUGAGCUACCCUUCAGAGCUCAAAUACACAUUUGAAGCUCUGCAGAAGAUUUUUAUGGAAUUAGACGGAAACAAGCUAUCUGCCAAAGUACAAGCUUUGAAAACCAAGCUUUUCCGUGGACAACUUCAUUGACUUUGAUGCCACUGCAAAUACAUUUUUUCUUCUCUUUUUAUUUGAUUAACAUCCUAAGCUGCAUAAAUGUUUCAUUGCAGAUAUUGAAAUGGAUAUGUAAGUCAUUUAAAAAUGUGAUUUGUAAAUGGAUAGAGUCAGCUGUUCUAUAAGAUGGGGUCUGAUUCUAAAUCAUAGUGGACAAUUUUGUACUGAAGUGGCUUUAUCCUUAGAAAUUUGUCAGCAAAACUAUAAGGUUUCCUUUGUGUUUUAAAAGAGACUGAAUCCCUGUUUUUGAACAUUUGUUUUACAAGGUUCAACACUUUGAAAAAGCGUGCAUUUUGUGCAUUUUCAAAAUGAGAAAAUAAUUUUCGAAGUUGAAUGUUUUAGUACAUUAAACAUGACAAUGUGUUUUAUUAUGUUGCAGGAAAUUGCAAGGUUUAUAUUUGUUAGUAAACUAAGGUGUUUGUUGAAUAUUUCAUGUGUAAGAGGAAGCAGGUUUCUAAAUGCUUUGUAUUUUACAAAGUUGCAUUCUUAAGCACAACUUAAAUGUGCUUUAUUAUCACUGUAUUUCUCAGGAAAUUGUAAGGUUUACACUGAAUCAUUCUGAAAAGGAAACUAAUGUCCUGUUUUUCUGGCAAGCUUGGGACUAAAGGUUGUUACAACA